rnacentral:rRNA from 1 species
GACGAACGCUGGCGGCGUGCCUAAUACAUGCAAGUAGAACGCUGAAGGAGGAGCUUGCUUCUCUGGAUGAGUUGCGAACGGGUGAGUAACGCGUAGGUAACCUGCCUGGUAGCGGGGGAUAACUAUUGGAAACGAUAGCUAAUACCGCAUAAGAGUAGAUGUUGAAUGACAUUUGCUUAAAAGGUGCAAUUGCAUCACUACCAGAUGGACCUGCGUUGUAUUAGCUAGUUGGUGGGGUAACGGCUUACCAAGGCGACGAUACAUAGCCGACCUGAGAGGGGGUUCGGCCACACUGGGACUGGGACACGGCCCAGACUCCUACGGGAGGCAGCAGUAGGGAAUCUUCGGCAAUGGACGGAAGUCUGACCGAGCAACGCCGCGUGAGUGAAGAAGGGUUUCGGAUCGUAAAGCUCUGUUGUAAGAGAAGAACGAGUGCGAGAGUGGAAAGUUCACACUGUGACGGUAUCUUACCAGAAAGGGACGGCUAACUACGUG